CCUCUCCCUCCCACCGGCUGGUGAUCUCCAGCUCGAGGGUUUCUCCCUCUGCCAUCUCCUCUCCGACCUCGCUUUCAAGCCCUCCGACGAGAUCCGGCUCCUUCCCUCCACCUGCUCCCGGCCUGCCCCCAAGCCGGCCCAUCCCCGCAGACCAUCUACCUUCGCGCGGGGGCACGGACGGCUACGGCAGCGGCUUCGAGUAGUACAGGAGCUGGUGGGCAGAUAAGCACUGACUUGUAAGCAGAGGCUGUUGAGGGUUCUGUAUGGAUUGAAUAGGAUCAUUUGCAAGGUAAAACAGAAAUUUCUCCAGUUGGUUCAAGAUUUUUGUUUGUCUAGUAGUUUGCGGCCCCCUCCUUAUCUGGCAAACUCUAUCAAUGUCUCCCAUACGAUCAUAUGCCAAGCGUCAAGAGAAGGAUAUGGCAGAAGCCAUAAACAAGAUGUUCUGUCCUUUAACCCCCAGGCGUAAGAACUUGCAUUUUGAUACAGUUUCCAAGCGUACCAACUUCCCAUGCCCUCCUCUUGC